rnacentral:other from 1 species
UAAAUGUUAUAUGAUAGAAUAGUUAUUGUAGUAAUUGGAUACGAGAUUAGGAAAAUAUUUAUUUUAUAUAUAAUUCUCCUAUUAAGCGUCACAUUUAUUGCAAUAAUUCGCGUACAAAGAUGCGCAAUAGGAGGAACAGCACAUGGCUAACGGUACAGUAAAAUGGUUUAACGCAGAAAAAGGAUUCGGAUUUAUCACUCAAGAGGACGGAACAGAUGUAUUUGCUCACUUCUCAGCUAUCCAAGGUGAAGGAUUCAAAACUUUAGAAGAAGGUCAAGAAGUUACUUUUGACGUAGAAGAAGGCCAACGUGGACUUCAAGCAACAAACAUCGAAAAAGCUUAAUUAAAGCUUACAAAACACUAGAGACUUGUUUCUAGUGUUUUU